rnacentral:tRNA from 1 species
GCCUGGGUGGCUCAGUCGGUUAAGCGGCUGACUUCAGCUCAGGUCAUGAUCUCGCGGUCCGUGAGUUCGAGCCCCACUUCGGGCU